GCCGGAGCGCUUCUCUUGAGUUGGUGAUCGAUCAGUGGUGGUCCAACAUGCAGAAGUGAGUGAGUGGUGAAAAGCAGCAGAGCUGAUGGGUCAUGAGGAUGUAAGUGCGUUUGAAGGCUCUCACACCCUUUACUCCAGGACAGAAUCAUGAAUAAACUGGAGGACAAGCAGGACCAGAUGAUACCAUGAAGAGAAGUUUACAGGCCCUCUAUUGCCAACCGUUAAAACAUUUCACAGAUGGACCCUCAUUUAAAGAACUUC